rnacentral:rRNA from 1 species
AUGGCGAGCGAUAGGGGAUCGGAUGAGGAUGAGGUAGGAUUUCCGAGGGACAUAUUUGCAGCUUCUGUCCAAGUCGCUAACGAAUUAAUGGCGCGGCGGCUCGUAGACGGCGCGGCCUUUGGUGCUGAGCUUCUCCAUGACUUGUCGUCGUCGCCGGUCGCCGUACCUCAUGCGAGGAAUACUACCCAACCUCCCUCACCUCUAUCCAGAUACAGGACGACAGUUCUAAGCCGUCCCAAUCGUUACCGAAACGAGAAAGAGAAGGAUUGUGCUUAUUUAAACGUUAUACCCGCUAACAGGCUUAGUUCGGGCUUGCAAGCCACUGGGGAAGAUUCUUGGGCCGCGCCAACUUGGGCCGAGGAGUAA